CCUCGUAGUUAUACUUUCACUCAUUUAACAGUCAAGUUGAAUUUUUGUUGUAUUUUAGUGUGUUUUUUGUUCUUUUCUAGCAUAAGCUUGAAAACAACAUCCGGCCUUUUAAUCAUUCAGAAAUCACUUCCAUCAAUAUGUGGAAUAAAUACUGGUUAUGUAUUGCAGUUUUGGCAAUUUUGUUUGUCAGCCAGGUAGUGCAAGCAAACGAUUGUCCGGGCGAAGGUGUUUGUGUGGGAAAACGAUGAAAUGCUCACAAUAUUUAACAAAACUAGAAUAUGAGUCAUUGAAAUUGACUAUCAAUCGGAACUUUCAGUUGUUUUCUCUACUUCAACGAAUCAGCAACAAAAACCUAUCUUCUUAAGUAUGUAGAAUUGUAGAUAUGUAAUUACUAUAAUCAGUCUGUGAAAAAAUAUUCUACACACCUACAUACUUAAAUUUUAUUUCAGUCCACAAAUUAAAAAUCAAUUCCUUCUAUGUUUUUCAA